UACGUAGGGGGCAAGCGUUGUCCGGAAUCAUUGGGCGUAAAGAGCGUGUAGGCGGCUCGAUAAGUCCGCUCUGAAAGCCCGGGGCUCAACCCCGGGAGGCGGGCGGAUACUGUCGGGCUAGAGCCCGGAAGAGGCGAGUGGAAUUCCUGGUGUAGCGGUGAAAUGCGCAGAUAUCAGGAAGAACACCCGUGGCGAAGGCGGCUCUCUGGAACGCAACUGACGCUGAGACGCGAAAGCGUGGGGAGCAAACAGG
rnacentral:rRNA from 1 species